GCUAGCAGAACUAGCUCUCUGCAACUCUCACAUGGUCGCCCACUGAAGCUAAGCAGGGCUGCGCCCGGUCAGUAUCUGGAUGGGAGACCACAUGGGAAAGGUUGGUUGCUGCCAGAA
rnacentral:rRNA from 1 species